rnacentral:tRNA from 1 species
GUCUUAGUAGCUCAAUGGGUAGAGCAAUCGGCUGUUAACCGAUAGGUAAUUGGUUCGAAACCAAUCUAGGACG